rnacentral:rRNA from 1 species
GAGUUUGAUCCUGGCUCAGGAUGAACGCUGGCGGCGUGCCUAAUACAUGCAAGUCGAACGAAACUUCUUUAUCACCGAGUGCUUGCACUCACCGAUAAAGAGUUGAGUGGCGAACGGGUGAGUAACACGUGGGCAACCUGCCCAAAAGAGGGGGAUAACACUUGGAAACAGGUGCUAAUACCGCAUAACCAUAGUUACCGCAUGGUAACUAUGUAAAAGGUGGCUAUACUACCGCUUUUGGAUGGGCCCGCGGCGCAUUAGCUAGUUGGUAGGGUAAAGGCUUACCAAGGCAAUGAUGCGUAGCCGAAUUGAGAGGUUGAUCGGCCACAUUGGGACUGAGACACGGCCCAAACUCCUACGGGAGGCAGCAGUAGGGAAUCUUCCACAAUGGGCGAAAGCCUGAUGGAGCAACGCCGCGUGGGUGAAGAAGGUCUUCGGAUCGUAAAACCCUGUUGUUAGAGAAGAAAGUGCGUGAGAGUAACUGUUCACGUUUCGACGGUAUCUAACCAGAAAGCCACGGCUAACUACGUGCCAGCAGCCGCGGUAAUACGUAGGUGGCAAGCGUUAUCC